AUUGAACGCUGGCGGCAUGCCUUACACAUGCAAGUCGAACGGCAGCGGACCUUCGGGUGCCGGCGAGUGGCGAACGGGGUGAGUAAUAUAUCGGAACGUACCUUUCAGUGGGGGAUAACGUAGCGAAAGUUACGCUAAUACCGCAUAUUCUGUGAGCAGGAAAGCAGGGGGAUCGCAAGACCUUGCGCUGAUUGAGCGGCCGAUAUCAGAUUAGCUAGUUGGUGAGGUAAAGGCUCACCAAGGCGACGAUCUGUAGCGGGUCUGAGAGGAUGAUCCGCCACACUGGAACUGAGACACGGUCCAGACUCCUACGGGAGGCAGCAGUGGGGAAUUUUGGACAAUGGGCGCAAGCCUGAUCCAGCCAUGCCGCGUGAGUGAAGAAGGCCU
rnacentral:rRNA from 1 species